UCCUCGUUAGUAUAGUGGCAAGUAUCUCCGCCUGUCACGCUGAAGACCGGGAGUUCGAUUCCCCGACGAGGAG
rnacentral:tRNA from 1 species